rnacentral:rRNA from 1 species
UACGUAGGGCGCGAGCGUUGUUCGGAAUUACUGGGCGUAAAGCGCGUGUAGGCGGCUCUUCAAGUCAGACGUGAAAGCCCCGGGCUUAGCUCGGGAACUGCGUUUGAUACUGUCGAGCUAGAGUGUGGAAGGGGCGAUUGGAAUUCCGUGUGUAGCGGUGAAAUGCGUAGAUAUACGGAGGAACACCAGAGGCGAAGGCGGAUCGCGGGGCCAACACUGACGCUGAGACCCGAAAGCUAGGGGAGCAAACGGG